AGCACAUGAAAAGGAAAACGGUUUAUAUUAAAUUUCAAUUAUCAUCUAAACCAGUGAAUAUUGCGCAAAAGUGGGCAACUAGAAUGCGGCUACGAGACUGUAUAUUACAGAUGGUUUUGCACUAUUAAAUACAGAGAGAGAAAUCGAAAGAAAUGACAAAUGUCCCACCGAGGAAGGAACAGCAUGCGGUGUAUGGGAUGGUCAAGAGACUUUUAAUGGAGCGCUUGUAACGAAGACCAAAAAUUCGCUGAAAUUUAUAAGGAAGAAGAUAUUGCUAAAGCAGUUCCAUCAUGACUGAAAGAUAACGAGCUGAUACUCGUCGGGUAGCGAUGAAACUAAAACAACAAUUUGAACCUGGACUUGGAUCAAAAUAUUCCACAGCAACACGACCUUCAAUAGAACUCAAGACAUACCCUGUAAAGAUGAAGAAAUCCAUGUUCGAAAAGUGACUAAGAAAGAGAAAGAGAGUGAUCAUUCAAAAUUCUAAGUUUGGUUCUGGCCAUUUUUUGCUUUUCUUGAUCAUCUAAGCUUUCUGCCUGCACUAGUGACGGGUUUCUUCAAGGGUGCCGGAACCAUAGGGGCAGCUGCCCCCUGCCCUUCGUUGAUGGGAGCAGCAAAGCUUGCCCUUUAGAUGCUCAUAGACAUUGAAUGUCUAAAAUUAAAUAUUUUUCCUUGUUUGCCUUAGGAAACUAAAGUGCCCUUGUUUGAGAGACUGCCCCCCCUGCUCAGUGCCUCUGGGGUUUUUUGCUAUAAGGUAAAAAAUUGAAUAUAUCUUGGUCCAAAUUCUGGAUCUGGUGUGUAUCAAUUAAGACUGGCAAGAAAUU